rnacentral:rRNA from 1 species
AGAGUUUGAUCCUGGCUCAGAACGAACGCUGGCGGCAGGCCUAACACAUGCAAGUCGAGCGCACCCUUCGGGGCGAGCGGCGGACGGGUUAGUAACGCGUGGGAACAUACCCUUUUCUACGGAAUAGCCUCGGGAAACUGAGAGUAAUACCGUAUAAGCCCUUCGGGGGAAAGAUUUAUCGGGAAAGGAUUGGCCCGCGUUAGAUUAGAUAGUUGGUGGGGUAAUGGCCUACCAAGUCUACGAUCUAUAGCUGGUUUUAGAGGAUGAUCAGCAACACUGGGACUGAGACACGGCCCAGACUCCUACGGGAGGCAGCAGUGGGGAAUCUUAGACAAUGGGCGCAAGCCUGAUCUAGCCAUGCCGCGUGUGUGAUGAAGGCCUUAGGGUCGUAAAGCACUUUCGCCAGAGAUGAUAAUGACAGUAUCUGGUAAAGAAACCCCGGCUAACUCCGUGCCAGCAGCCGCGGUAAUA